rnacentral:tRNA from 1 species
UCCCUCGUGGCUCAGUCAGUAAAGAAUCUGCCUGCAAUGUAGGAGUCCCAGGUUCGAUCCCUGGUUUGGGAA